CCCAGACUCCAGGGGAGCCGUCCCUCCAACUCCCGGGAGCUGCCGAGGGAGGGGCGGAUCCGGGCCAGCUCCUCUGCCAGAGCCCAGCCCAGAGAGGGUGACCGGGGGACGCAGGGCCGGGUUUCCAGCCCCACGAGAGGGAUGGUGUAGGGACCGGGGCGUCGCGGCGAGACGCCUUUCCUCGGGGGGGGGUGCGGGGGGGCGCCCACCUCCUCCGUGUCGGCCGGAGGGUCUGCAACAGCGGGUGGAAUUUUUAGCACAAGCGAGGGAGGAGGUUGGAGCGACGAGAGGCGGGAGCGGAAAGGGCGCGGAGGCCGGGGCUGCAGCGCGCUCCACCGCCCAGCUGCAGGUGGCGCCUCUCGCCACCCGCACCCCGCUGCGCCCAGGGAAGGGCCGAUGGCGCGCCGUCCUCCCUCCUCCCUUCGGGAAGCCUGCGACGUCCCAUCCCCUCCGACGCAGGCCCGGGAAAGGCUCAAAAGGUUCGAGGUCGCGUUCCUGCUAUCCCGCGGGCUUCUCUCACUCUUAGAUCCCGCACCAGAGGAAGCGGAUCUCCUUGAGUGGGCAAAGCAGGGGUGAGGGGCUGGGGGCAGUUCCACUGACAACGGGACGGGGGCGAGAGGGGUUUACCCAGUACAUACAGAAACAGCAGAAAAGAAAUCUAUUUUUAAUGGCUUUGGCUUUAUAGCACGAAGCAGGCACCCUCUCGUUAAAGGCACACAGUCCUCUCUUCUGCCCCACCUCCUGGGUCCUUAAAAUCGAGUCCUGAGUUCCAGAGGGGUCACUGCAAGGCAGCAGGGAAGGGAGAGGGUCACAGUUUCACUCUGUGAGUAUCAGACACCCAGGGCCAAGGCCCAGACUGGCCUCUGAAGCUACAGGUUAGAGUCUGGGUACAGGAGGCAGCCGAGAUGGUCCCUGAGAACAGACAGUCCCGGUCCCCCGGAGCAAGCUCCAUCCUCUGCAGAGCUGUGAGGUCAGUGCCCCACAUCCUGGGGCAACGUGAAGUCCCUGAAGCUGUAGAAGGAGAUGUCACCAUGAUCCACCAGGGCAAAGAUCAGAGGGACAUCCCCACUCUGGAGCCAGUUCCUAACCACCAACUCCUGGCGGUCAAGGUACUGCAGAGACGGCACUGCUUGGAAACUUACCGGGCACCUCCAUCAGGAAGGUGUGUUGUCUGCAGCACAGAGAUAUGCUGAAGGACCACGGCUACAAGGACACAGAAAACAAGGCCCUGCUGCAGCCGCCGGAGAACUGACCGUGCUUGUGGGUCCACUCCCUCCUCCCACAUCUUCCUUAAGCCUCAAUCCAUCCCAGUUCAUCCAUGCCCUUUCCAAAGUCCUGUGAUUCCUCAGCUGCCAGUGGCCCUCGAAGAUGUGGCAGGCUGAGGGGGUACCUGGGGAGCUGGCCUGGCCAGGACUCAGCAGCGGGGUGACGGGCUGGCCCCACAGGUGAGGGGCCCGGCGCUGGCUCCUCUGCACCUGCCGCCGCUGCAGCAGCUCCUUGUACUCCCGCCAGCUGGAGCACCGCUGCACCUCGGGAUCGGCGUUGACAUCUUCCUGGAACUGCGCGGCCUCCGCGUGGUGCUCCCGUUCCCGCCUGGAGAGCUUCUCCUUGCGCUGGUUCAGCUUCUGGCACCAGGACUCAGCGUCUGUCUCCCGCCCAGCCACGUUGGCCGGGAGCAGCUCUGGGGCUGGGGCGCGCAGAAGGGUGUGGCGGCUGUCUGAAGCCAUGUUGGGGAAGGAGAUCUGCUCGAAGUUCCAGCGCCGCUUACCGGCUCCCGUGACUCCGUUCUCGGCUCUGCCACUCUCCCAGCUGCACCCCACCCCCUCCCUGGCCGGGCCAGGGCUGGGGCCCAGGGACCCCAGAAGCUGAAAGGGGCCCCCUGGGCCCUUCAUGGGGCUUGACUCCUGGGGUUUCUCCUCUGGGCAUUGGCUGGGCUGGCUGCAGGGAGGUGGGCUGGAGGCUGCCAGACUCUUGGGUUGCAGGGAGUUGUCCAGGGCCUUGGCCUUCUUAUUAAUGGACCUGAGGGACGUGGGGGAAAAGCAGCACAUCUGCCCCUGGUUGCUAAGGUGCACACGUCCCAUGGGAGCUGAAGGCAGGUCCCCUAGUGUCUCCCUGAGCCUGCAUGGGAGCUGCUGGUUCUUAGAAAGCCUGUGCAUUUUCCAAGGUCCCAGACACCAGCACUCCCUGGGGGGCCACCGUGAUGUGGGAGUUACCGAGGGCUGGAGCUGCUCCUCUUUCUCUUGCCAUCUCCAUCCUCCAAGUGCUGCACGCUGGCAUCCAGGUUAAGCUGCCUCUCAUACGGGGACAGGACAGAGCUGUGGGGUGAGAACAGCGGGUGGGCCACUGACCCACCUCCUCAGCCUGGGGAUCUGGUGGGAUGUGUAAGGAAACGGGCCAAGAGGACAGUCAGUGGGCCAGGAUCGGAGCCACACCCAAGUGCUAAGGCCCUAAGCAGACCCCCAUGAGGGGUACAGGCCCAGCCAGGGGGCCCAGCCAUGUGCCUCUGCCUAGGCAAUGGCCCAGAGGAGCUAGC
rnacentral:lncRNA from 1 species